rnacentral:rRNA from 1 species
GAUGAACGCUAGCUACAGGCUUAACACAUCCAAUUCGAGGGGCAGCAUGAACUUAGCUUGCUAAGUUUGAUGGCGACCGGCGCACGGGUGCGUAACGCGUAUCCUUACCUUCCCGUUACUCAGGGAUAGCCUUCCGAAAGGGAGAUUAAUACCUGAUGGUGUUCUAAUUCCGCAUGACAUUUGAACUAAAGAUUCAUCGGUAACGGAUGGGGAUGCGUUCCAUUAGCUUGUUGGCGGGGUAACGGCCCACCAAGGCAACGAUGGAUAGGGGUUCUGAGAGGAAGGUCCCCCACACUGGAACUGAGACACGGUCCAGACUCCUACGGGAGGCAGCAGUGAGGAAUAUUGGUCAAUGGUCGAAGGACUGAACCAGCCAUGCCGCGUGAAGGCGACGGCCCUAUGGGUCUUAAACUUCUUUUGUAAGGGAGCAAUAAGGUUCACGUGUGGACCGAUGAGAGUACCUUACGAAUAAGCAUCGGCUAACUCCGUGCCAGCAGCCGCGGUAAUACGGGGGAUGCAAGCGUUAUCCGGAUUUAUUGGGUUUAAAGGGUGCGUAGGCGGUCUGGUAAAUCAGCGGUGAAAUUUAGGGGCUCAACCUCUUCCGUGCCGUUGAUACGUUCAGACUUGAAUGCGGAUACCGUGGGAGGAAUGUGGGGUGUAGCGGGGAAAUGCAUAGAUAUCACACAGAACACCGAUUGCGAAGGCAUCUCACGAAUCCGCGAUUGACGCUGAGGCACGAAAGCGUGGGGAUCAAACAGGAUUAGAUACCCUGGUAGUCCACGCUGUAAACGAUGAUGACUAACCGUCGGCGAUACACAGUCGGUGGCCAAGCGAAAGCGAUAAGUCAUCCACCUGGGGAGUACGACCGCAAGGUUGAAACUCAAAGGAAUUGACGGGGGCCCGCACAAGCAGUGGAGUAUGUGGUUUAAUUCGAAGCAACGCGAAGAACCUUACCAGGGCUUGACAUAUACAGGAAUAUGCUAGAGAUAGCAUAGCACUUCGGAGUCUGUAUACAGGUGGUGCAUGGUUGUCGUCAGCUCGUGUCGUGAGGUGUCGGCUUAAGUGCCAUAACGAGCGCAACCCUUGCCAUUAGUUACUAACAGUUUAUGCUGAGGACUCUAAUGGGACUGCCAUCGUAAGAUGUGAGGAAGGUGGGGAUGACGUCAAAUCAGCACGGCCCUUACGUCCGGGGCUACACACGUGUUACAAUGGGAGGUACAGAAGGCCGCUACCCGGCGACGGGAUGCCAAUCCCCAAAACCUCUCUCAGUUCGGAUUGGAGUCUGCAACCCGACUCCAUGAAGCUGGAUUCAAUAGUAAUCGCGCAUCAGCCACGGCGCGGUGAAUACG